UACGAAGGGGGCUAGCGUUGUUCGGAAUUACUGGGCGUAAAGCGCACGUAGGCGGAUUGUUAAGUUAGGGGUGAAAUCCCAGGGCUCAACCCUGGAACUGCCUUUAAUACUGGCAAUCUCGAGUCCGAGAGAGGUGAGUGGAAUUCCGAGUGUAGAGGUGAAAUUCGUAGAUAUUCGGAGGAACACCAGUGGCGAAGGCGGCUCACUGGCUCGGUACUGACGCCGAGGUGCGAAAGCGUGGGGAGCAAACAGG
rnacentral:rRNA from 1 species